UUAAGUAAUGGCGAAUGAACAGGAACAAGCCUAGUGUGGAAAUUGAGGUUGAUGACCUCGACUUGUUUUCUUCAGAUGCGACCCCAGCAAAGGUGCACAUGUNNNNNNNGUGGAAAAGGAUUUCGAGGAAGGUGACAUGCCUGUCUGAGUUGUGUGUUCCUUUGUAUACGGGAUGCGUUUCAUGAGUCACGUUCCUUGAAAUUGGAACGCAAAGUAGGUGGUAAUUUUCACCCAAGGCUACUUAUUAGUGUGAAACCGAUAGCAAACAAGUACCAUGAGGGAAACAUGAAAAGGACUUUGAAAAGAGGGUUAAAAGUGCUUGAAAUUGCUGAACUGGAAGCGAAGGAUGUUUGAAUGCCAUGAUAGAUUGCUGCAAUUGCCUGCUGCUCUUGCGGUUGCAUAAGGUGAUCUCAUAGAUGGGGCAACGUGAUUGUAGUGUUGCUGUCUUGGUGUGUUAGUGCCCUCAUAUGUUGGAGCAUGCAGUCUGGAGCAUGGAAGCUCGCUGGUUGAGUGUGUGAAUGCUUUAGUUGCAGCUUGGACAUGUUAGGUUUGAUGGUUUCUUUUAGGGAUGCAUCUGUUUCCUUCUGGGUGGCAGAUCCUAUUUCUGUUUGUAAGCUGUCAUGAAUAGUGAAUAAACAUCUUUAGACCCGUCUUGAAACACGGACCAAGGAGUCUAAUGCAUGUGUGAGCUUUUGGGUAGUUAAGCUUUGUGGCGUAUUGAAGGAAAUAGUUGGUAUUUUUGCUCCAGCAACUAACCAAACAAUUGUGUGAGGUUUGAGUGGUAGCAUGUGUGUUAGGACCCGAAAGAUGGUGAACUAUGCUUGAGGAAAGCAAAGUCAGGGGAAACUCUGAUGGAGGCUUGUAGCGAUACUGACGUGCAAAUCGUUCGUCAUACUUGAGUAUAGGGGCGAAAGACUAAUCGAACCAUCUAGUAGCUGGUUCCCUCCGAAGUUUCCCUCAGGAUAGCUAGAAUU
rnacentral:rRNA from 1 species